rnacentral:rRNA from 1 species
UACGUAGGCAGCAAGCGUUGUUCGGAGUUACUGGGCGUAAAGAGUGCGUAGGCGGUCCUGUAAGUUUGGUGUGAAAUCUCCCGGCUCAACUGGGAGGGUGCGCCGAAGACUGCAGGGCUUGAGUAUGGGAGAGGUAAGCGGAAUUCCUGGUGUAGCGGUGAAAUGCGUAGAUAUCAGGAGGAACACCUGUGGUGUAGACAGCUUACUGGACCAUAACUGACGCUGAGGCACGAAAAGCGUGGGUAGCAAAACAGG